AGCAUGAUUGAAUCAAAUAUUCCCCAGCCCCUGGUCCCCUUGUCAUUGUCAGGACCAGUCUGACUUAUUCUCAGGUAAUCGGAGGCAGGUGACCCCGGGAAGCCUCAUUGCCACAUCCGGACAGGGUGGGAUUGAAGGUUUGGGGGACACUAGACGUUAAGAGAUUAGGAGGAAUGAGGCCCCCACACAAAAAGAAUUGGAGAGAAGUCAAGUUAAGAGAUGGAGAUAACAUCAUUUGAGCCCCAGGUCCAACCAGAGCUGAGGCAGACUAAAUUUUCUCAGUGUAUCUAGUUAUGAGUGCAGGUGGUGGGGAAGAAGACCCCUGGUGCCCUCAGAACAACUGGGAGCCUGGGGGAGUCUCCCAGGUCGUCAGAGUGCCUGCUUUUGAUCAUCUGGGAACCAGUCACUCCCUGGGGACAAGCAGAGCUGAAAGGGAACGUUCCUAGGAAGGAGGCCCAGCACCCCGUGCCAGUCUCAGACCUCUGGGAUUCAACCUCCUGGCUCAACAAACACUGCCCCUUUCUCUAUUACCAUGUUCAUAUGCCCAACACCUGGUCAAAGGAACAGCUGGAAGGAGCCUGGCCUGGAAAGCCCUUCAUCUUUCCCCUCCUCUCAAUCCUGGGAACCAAGAGGGGAUUUCUAAGGAGAGGGGCUAUCCAGCUCAUAUUCAGACAAAUCCCCAAAUUUCAAGGAAUUGACAUGUGGGGGAGGGGAGAAGUUAUUUCCCAUCUGUAUAAGACCAGAGAUAGACCAGAAAAGGUGUCAAAAGGGGAAUUAAUAUGUGGGACUCCCAUUCAACACCCCCACCCCCAUGAGAUCUGGACACUCUUCUGGAAGGUGGGGUGGAUAUUCCCGCAUAAGUUUCUGAUUUAUCUUUCUUUCCAUCCAUUAAUAAUAAAAACAGUA